GACGAACGCUGGCGGCGUGCCUAACACAUGCAAGUCGAACGCGGAAGCGAGGAGCUUGCUCUUCUUGGAGGAGUCGGGAAAGGGUGAGUAACGCGUAGGUAACUUGCCUUGGAGCGGGGGAUAACUACUGGAAACGAUAGCUAAUACCGCAUAACAAUGGAGGACACAUGUCAUCUAUGUGAAAGGGGCAAUUGCUCCACUACAAGAUGGACCUACGUUGUAUUAGCUAGUAGGUGAGGGGACGGCUCACCUAGAUGACGAGACAUAGCCGAACUGAGAGGAUGAUCGGCCACACUUGGGCGGGGACGCGGACCAGCCGUCUGAGGGAGGCAGCAGUCGGGCACCUUCGGCAGUGGGGGCAACGCUGACCGAGCGACGCGGCGUGAGUGAGACAGGUUUUCGGAGCGUGAAGCUCGGUUGUCCGUCGAGAACGAGUGUCAGAAUGGAAAGAGUACGCUGUGACGGUAGCUGACCAAAAAGCAACGGCUAACUACGUG
rnacentral:rRNA from 1 species